GGAGAGGUGGCUCAGAGGUUAAGAGCACUGGCUGCUCUUCCAGAUGGAUCUGGGUUCAAUUCCCAGCAACCACA
rfam:Neotoma lepida isolate 417 scaffold_4114, whole genome shotgun sequence.